AGUGAACGCUGGCGGCGUGCCUAAUACAUGCAAGUCGAACGGAGUGGCGCACGGGUGAGUAAUGUAUAGCUAAUCUGCCCUACACUAGAGGACAACAGUUGGAAACGGCUGCUAAUACUCUAUAGUGUAGGUUGAGGCUAUAUUGUAUCAGCUAGUUGGUGAGGUAAUGGCUCACCAAGGCUAUGACGCAUAACUGGUCUGAGAGGAUGAUCAGUCACACGGGAACUGAGACACGGUCCAGACUCCGACGGGAGGCAGCAGGAGGGAAGAUUGCUCAAGGGGGGAAACCCUGAAGCAGCAACGCCGCGUGGAGGAUGACACUGUGCGGAGCGUAAACUCCUGUUGUUAGGGAAGCGGUACCUAACGAAUAAGCACCGGCUAACUCCGUGCCAGCCGCCGCGGUAAUUC
rnacentral:rRNA from 1 species